GACGAACGCUGGCGGCGUGCUUAACACAUGCAAGUCGAACGGUGAAGGGACUGGUUUUGCUGGUCCUGGAUGAGUGGCGAACGGGUGAGUAACACGUGAGUAACCUGCCCCCUUCUUCUGGAUAACCGCAUGAAAGUGUGGCUAAUACGGGAUAUUCUGGGUCUGUCGCAUGGUGGGCCUGGGAAAGAUUGCGCCUUUUUUGGUGUUUUUGGUGGGGGAUGGGCUCGCGGCCUAUCAGCUUGUUGGUGGGGUGAUGGCCUACCAAGGCGGUGACGGGUAGCCGGCCUGAGAGGGUGGACGGUCACACUGGGACUGAGACACGGCCCAGACUCCUACGGGAGGCAGCAGUGGGGAAUAUUGCACAAUGGGCGCAAGCCUGAUGCAGCGGCGCCGCGUGAGGGAUGGAGGCCUUCGGGUUGUGAACCUCUUUCGCCAGUGAAGCAGGCCUGCCUCUUUUUGUGGGUGGGUUGACGGUAGCUGGAUAAGAAGCGCCGGCUAACUACGUG
rnacentral:rRNA from 1 species